rnacentral:rRNA from 1 species
AGUGAACGCUGGCGGUAGGCCUAACACAUGCAAGUCGCACGGCAGCACAGUAAGAGCUUGCUCUUACGGGUGGCGAGUGGCGGACGGGUGAGGAAUACAUCGGAAUCUACUUUUUCGUGGGGGAUAACGUAGGGAAACUUACGCUAAUACCGCAUACGACCUACGGGUGAAAGCAGGGGAUCUUCGGACCUUGCGCGAUUGAAUGAGCCGAUGUCGGAUUAGCUAGUUGGCGGGGUAAAGGCCCACCAAGGCGACGAUCCGUAGCUGGUCUGAGAGGAUGAUCAGCCACACUGGAACUGAGACACGGUCCAGACUCCUACGGGAGGCAGCAGUGGGGAAUAUUGGACAAUGGGCGCAAGCCUGAUCCAGCCAUACCGCGUGGGUGAAGAAGGCCUUCGGGUUGUAAAGCCCUUUUGUUGGGAAAGAAAAGCAGCAGGUUAAGACCCCGCUGUUCUGACGGUACCCAAAGAAUAAGCACCGGCUAACUGCGU